GACGAACGCUGGCGGCGUGCUUAACACAUGCAAGUCGAACGGAAAGGCCCUGCUUUUGUGGGUUGCUCGAGUGGCGAACGGGUGAGUAACACGUGAGUAACCUGCCCUUGACUUUGGGAUAACUUUAGGAAACUGGGGAUAAUACCGGAUAGGAGCUCCUGCUGCAUGGUGGGGGUUGGAAAGUUUCGGCGGUUGGGGAUAGACUCGCGGCUUAUCAGCUUGUUGGUGGGGUAGUGGCUUACAAAGGCUUUGAAGGGUAGCCGGCCUGAGAGGGUGACCGGCCACAUUGGGACUGAGAUACGGCCCAGACUCCUACGGGAGGCAGCAGGGGGGAAUAUUGCACAAUGGGGGGAAGCCUGAUGCAGCAACGCCGCGUGCGGGAUGACGGCCUUCGGGUUGUAAACCGCUGUCGCCUGUGACGAGGCGUGAGUGACGGUAAUGGGUAAAGAAGCACCGGCUAACUACGUG
rnacentral:rRNA from 1 species